GAAACGACUGCUAAGACUGGAUAGGAAGAUAAAAGGCAUCUUUUAUCUUUUAAAAGACCUAGUAAUAGGUAUGCUUUAGGAGGGGCUUGCGCCAUAUUAGUUAGUUGGUAGGGUAAUGGCCUACCAAGACGAUGAUGUGUAGCUGGACUGAGAGGUUGAACAGCCACAUUGGGACUGAGACACGGCCCAAACUCCUACGGGAGGCAGCAGUAGGGAAUUUUCGGCAAUGGAGGAAACUCUGACCGAGCAACGCCGCGUGAAUGACGAAGUACUUCGGUAUGUAAAGUUCUUUUAUCAAGGAAGAAAAGCAAAUGGCGAACCAUUUGUUUGCCGGUACUUGAUGAAUAAGCCCCGGCUAAUUAUGUGCCAGCAGCCGCGGUAAGACAUAAGGGGCAAGUGUUAUCCGGAAUUAUUGGGCGUAAAGGGUGCGUAGGCGGUCUAGUAAGUCAGUGGUGUAAUGGCAACGCUUAACGUUGUCCGGCUAUUGAAACUGCUAAACUUGAGUUAGAUAGAGGCGAGUGGAAUUCCAUGUGUAGCGGUAAAAUGCGUAAAUAUAUGGAGGAACACCAGAGGCGUAGGCGGCUCGCUGGGUCUUAACUGACGCUGAGGCACGAAAGCGUGGGGAGCAAACAGGAUUAGAUACCCUGGUAGUCCACGCCGUAAACGAUGAGUACUAAGUGUCGGGUUAAACCGGUACUGAAGUUAACACAUUAAGUACUCCGCCUGAGUAGUACGUACGCAAGUAUGAAACUUAAAGGAAUUGACGGGACUCCGCACNAGCGGUGGNUCAUGUUGUUUAAUUCGAAGAUACCCGAAAAACCUUACCAGGUCUUGACAUGUUUUUGCAAAAUGAUAGUAAUAUCGUGGAGGUUACCAGAAACACAGGUGGUGCAUGGUUGUCGUCAGCUCGUGUCGUGAGAUGUUAGGUUAAGUCCUAAAACGAGCGAAACCCUUAUCGUUAGUUGCCAGCACGUUAUGGUGGGGACUUUAACGAGACUGCCAAUGAUAAAUUGGAGGAAGGUGAGGAUCACGUCAAAUCAGCAUGCCCCUUAUGACCUGGGCUACAAACGUGAUACAAUGGCUGUUACAAAGGGUAGCUGAAACGCAAGUUCUUGGCCAAUCCCCAAAAACAGUCCCAGUCCGGAUUGAAGUCUGCAACUCGACUUCAUGAAGUUGGAAUCGCUAGUAAUCGCGAAUCAGCAUGUCGCGGUGAAUACGUUCACGGGUUUGUACACACCGCCCGUCA
rnacentral:rRNA from 1 species